AUGGGAGGCAUGGGUGGCUUCGGAGCCAUGGGAGGCAUGGGUGCACCUCCGGCCGUCAUGGGAGGCAUGGGUGCACCUUCGACCGCCAUGAGAGGCAUGGGUGGCUUUGGAUCACCCUCCGACGCUAUGGCCGCCAUGGGAGGGAUGAGUUUUGCUUCUCUCAUGGGAGGCAUGGGUGCACCACCGGCCGUCAUGGGUGGAAUGUCUUUCGAUGUGCCUUCUCACGCACAUUCCCAUGAAGAUGCCGUUGAAGAUCUUGCCAACACCGUCGGAGCUUCACGUGAUGCGGUGCGUGAUGAGGAGAGGGAGGAAGAUUCAUCUUCGGAGGCGGAAGAAUCGUCUUCAGAAGAUGAGGACGAAGACGAGGAAGAUGAUUGA
rnacentral:rRNA from 1 species